GCAAACUUGGUCAUUUAGAGGAAGUAAAAGUCGUAACAAGGUUUCCGUAGGUGAACCUGCGGAAGGAUCAUUAUCGAAUUUUGGGUCGGGGCUGUCGCUGGCCUCCUCGGAGGCAACGUGCACGCGCCGUUCCUCAAAUCCACCUCAACCCUGUGAACUCCCGCGAGGGCGAGUCCCCCCCUUCUCCUCGGGGCCCGCUCGCGUCUUUACCUUCUCGUAGACCCCCCGUUCUGGCAUGUACCUGAGGGUGUUGGGAGCGUGUGGUCACACGCGCGUGUAGCUUUGUACAACUUUCAACAACGGAUCUCUUGGCUCUCGCAUCGAUGAAGAACGCAGC
rnacentral:misc_RNA from 1 species